UCAGUCGGCCGGACGGCCGCUCCCGCUACGGUCGAAAGGCUGCGGGGGAGGAAAGUCCGGGCUCCAUCGACAUACGGUGCCGGAUAACGUCCGGCGGGGGCAACCCCAGGGAAAGUGCCACAGAGAACGAACCGCUUCCCCACCCGAAAGGGAGGGCAGUAAGGGUGAAAAGGUGCGGUAAGAGCGCACCGCGUAUCCGGCAACGGAAACGGCAUGGCAAACCACACCGGGAGCAAAACCGAAUAGGGACGGCAACGCGGUAAGUUCGCCGCAAGGCGAUAACACCGCAGGGCGAUGUCAGGCCCGCCGUCCGGGUAGGUUGCUCGAGGCCAUGUGCAAGCAUGGUCCCAGAGGAAUGGCCGUCACGUACCGUUCGAAAGAACGGUGCCCUACAGAACCCGGCUUACAGGCUGGCUGAUAUC
rnacentral:RNase_P_RNA from 1 species